rnacentral:rRNA from 1 species
AACGAACGCUGGCGGCAUGCCUAACACAUGCAAGCCGAACGAGACCUUCGGGUCUAGUGGCGCACGGGUGCGUAACGCGUGGGAAUCUGCCCUUGGGUUCGGAAUAACUCGCCGAAAGGCGUGCUAAUACCGGAUGAUGUCGUAAGACCAAAGAUUUAUCGCCCAGGGAUGAGCCCGCGUAAGAUUAGGUAGUUGGUGAGGUAAAGGCUCACCAAGCCGACGAUCUUUAGCUGGUCUGAGAGGAUGAUCAGCCACACUGGGACUGAGACACGGCCCUU